rnacentral:rRNA from 1 species
CCUACGGGAGGCAGCAGUGGGGAAUAUUGGUCAAUGGGCGAGAGCCUGAACCAGCCAAGUCGCGUGAGGGAAGACGGUCCUAUGGUUUGUAAACCUCUUUUGUCGGGGAGAAAAAGACGCCACGCGUGGCGUUCCGAGAGUACCCGAAGAAAAAGCAUCGGCCAACUCCGUGCCAGCAGCCGAGGUAAUCCGGAGGAUACGAGUGUUAUCCGGAUUUAGUGGGUUUAAAGGGUGCGCAGGGUGAAGAUCAAGUCAGGUGAAAAAUUGAGAGGCACAACCUCUUCGAGUCAUUGAAACUGGUUUGUGUGAGGAAGUGAGAAGUAGGCGGAAUGCGGGGUGUAGCGGUGAAAGGCAUAGAUAUCACGCAGAACUCAGAUGGCGAGGGCAGCAUACGGGCGCUCAACGGACGCUCAUGCACGAAAGUGUGGGUAUCGAACAGGAUUAGAUACCCUUGUGUC